CCGGUACUGAUUUAUAAACCCUUUCUUUUGCAUAAUUGUGACUCAAGGUACAGUUUUACCUUGUGAAAUGGGAAUAACCAAAUGGAAGCUGGGUGGGCCCAGAAUCCAAGGAGUUUGGGUCUGGGUAAUCCUGUCAUCCUGCAGUGAUGGAGAUUUUGCUCUCAUUGAGUCUGUGUCUGGAUUAUUUCUGGUUCAUGGACAAUCUCAUUUAUUUCUGUCUUCAUAAUCAUCUGGACCUCUUUCCUGCUGACAGGAUAAUUUAACAGCAGUGAUACUAUCAACAUCAUCAUCACCAUCAUCAUCAUCAUCAUGUCUUCACUGAAGGCCUCUUAUGAGAUAUAGGUCACUGCCUCAGGUAAUGGAGUUUCAAGGAGGCAUAAAGUCUUGAGGAUCUUAUCAUCAAGUUGGGAAGUCAGAGUAACUACUUUCAUAAGGUAAAUCAUCAUGAAAGCCUGCAUGUGCUUAGUGCUAAAUGAGUGGCAGUGAUAUGGAGAAAUGGGCAUCCCUGAGAUCAAUGUAAUG
rnacentral:lncRNA from 1 species